rnacentral:rRNA from 1 species
UCCGUAGGUGAACCUGCGGAAGGAUCAUUAAUAAGGAUACCGGGCAACCGGUAACCCCACCCGUGUCUAUCUACUCUUGUUGCUUUGGCAGGCCGUGGUCUCCACGGCGGGCUCUGCCCGCUAGCGCCUGCCAGAGGACCAAACUCUGAAUUUUAGUGAUGUCUGAGUACUAUAUAAUAGUUAAAACUUUCAACAACGGAUCUCUUGGUUCUGGCAUCGAUGAAGAACGCAGCGAAAUGCGAUAAGUAAUGUGAAUUGCAGAAUUCAGUGAACCAUCGAAUCUUUGAACGCACAUUGCGCCCGCCAGCACUCUGGCGGGCAUGCCUGUCCGAGCGUCAUCUCAACCCUCGAGCCCCCCGCCUCGCGGCGGCGGGGCCCGGCCUUGGGGGUCACGGCCCCGCGCCGCCCCCUAAACGCAGUGGCGACCCCGCCGCGGCUCCCCUGCGCAGUAGCUCGCUGAGAACCUCGCACCGGGAGCGCGGAGGCGGUCACGCCGUGAAACCACCACACCCUCCAGUUGACCUCGGAUCAGGUAGGGAUACCCGCUGAACUUAAGCAUAUCAAUAAGCGGAGGA